rnacentral:snRNA from 1 species
AGCUUUGCGCAGUGGCAGUAUCAUAGCCAAUGAGAUUUAUCUGAGGCGUGAUUAUUACCAAUUGAAAACUUAUAUAUUCUAAAA